rnacentral:rRNA from 1 species
CGAUUGAGUUUGAUCCUGGCUCAGGAUAAACGCUGGCGGCGCACAUAAGACAUGCAAGUCGAACGGAAGUCGUUGUAAUGAUGUGGACAUAGACAGAGAACUUGUUCGAAGAAAAUGAAAAUUGACUUACAACAAUGGCUUUAGUGGCGGACUGGUGAGUAACGCGUGAGCAACCUGCCUGUUAGAGGGGAAUAACAGUGAGAAAUCAUUGCUAAUACCGCAUAUGCCAUAACUAUCACAUGAUAGAAGUGGGAAAGGAGCAAUCCGCUAAUAGAUGGGCUUGCGUCUGAUUAGAUAGUUGGUGGGGUAACGGCCUACCAAGUCGACGAUCAGUAGCCGGACUGAGAGGUUGAACGGCCACAUUGGGACUGAGAUACGGCCCAGACUCCUACGGGAGGCAGCAGUCGGGAAUAUUGCACAAUGGAGGAAACUCUGAUGCAGUGACGCCGCGUGCAGGAAGAAGGUUUUCGGAUUGUAAACUGCUUUAGAUAGGGAAGAUAAAAGACGGUACCUAUAGAAUAAGCUCCGGCUAACUACGUGCCAGCAGCCGCGGUAAUACGUAGGGAGCAAGCGUUAUCCGGAUUUAUUGGGUGUAAAGGGUGCGUAGACGGGAAUUU